AAUAGGGGGUAUUACUGCAAUGUUCUGCCGCCAGAGUACAGCACUAUACCUCCUAGUAAACCAUAGAGUAACUUAUACAUACUGUGCCUUAAACUGUUUUUUGACAAGUUUUCACAGACAAUAAAAUAUGACAUUGAUGCAUCAAGGCGGUUUGUUAACAAUGGGCCUACCGGGAAACGCAAAAAUCGAAAUUUAGUUAUCUGCCGCUUUAUCGCUCGAAUAUGCAAGAUGAUAGAGGUUAGAUAAAGAAAUUU